rnacentral:lncRNA from 1 species
CUUAGAGAAAUGCUCUGGGCUUAUACUGAGGCUCAUCUACCCUAAAGGCCAUCUCUCAGGAAAACAGAGCUGUUGUAUCAUAAAGCUUUUCAGGGGGAAAAAAAUAAAAAAUGUUCAUCACAAAUCUAUUGUGCUUGUUAUAAUCUAACAAAGUCCACUAAAUGUAGUAACGAAAUGUCUCCCCAAUAAAAAAUUAAGAUUCCCUUUGGAGCUUAGGCAUGUGGCCUUAUAAAGAGCUUAACUGGACUGCUACCUGUUGGUAUGUUCAGGGCUUCAUUAGGUUCAUGCUUAAGUAUAAUGCCUGUGCCUCACAGAACAAUUUAAAUUUAGCUUAACACCCCACCCAUACUUAAAGAGCAAAUAAAUUAUAUUUCGAAAAGAUUUUAAAAUAAUCUCAAUAUAAAAACCAACAGUGGGAACUGAGUCUGGAAUAAAUGUGUGCAGAAUCCUAAUUCUUUUCUGAGCUCCACUCAGUGAGGAUAUGCACCCUCUACUGUCCAGCCUGUGGUUUGCAGUAAGCUCACUCUUCUGUUCAGAAUGACCACAGGAGGGCCUUUACCUAGGAAUAGCAGGAAAAGCUAAGUAAGUACUCAAACUUCCCUCCCAGUAAGCAUGAAUUGCUUCAGAUGUAAAGCUUACAUGUGAUGAGUAAUACUAUAAUAUCAUACAUUAAUAUAUCCUAAUAAACUUUAAUUUUCAAACAUUUCUGCGUUGCUCUAAUUUUUUGUAAGAACAUACUGUUUUAAUAAUAAAGCAAUUUCAGAAUGAUUAAACUCAAGAAACUUUAUAAGUGGAAAAUUCAUUCACAGGAGAUAACGUACAUAAAGACAAGUCACUUGAGCAUCCCCAUCA